AUACGGAAGGUGCAAGCGUUAAUCGGAAUCACUGGGCGUAAAGCGCUCGUAGGUGGCUUUGUAAGUCAGGUGUGAAAGCCCACGGGCUCAACCGUGGAAUUGCACUUGAUACUGCAUUGCUUGAGUUCGGGAGAGGGUAGUGGAAUUCCAGGUGUAGGAGUGAAAUCCGAAGAGAUCUGGAGGAGCACCAGUGGCGAAGGCGACUACCUGGGCCGAUACUGACACUGAGGAGCGAAAGCGUGGGGAGC
rnacentral:rRNA from 1 species